GAUGAACGCUAGCGAUAGGCUUAACACAUGCAAGUCGAGGGGCAGCACAUGAGUGGCAACACGAUGGUGGCGACCGGCGCACGGGUGAGUAACACGUAUGCAACCUGCCCAUAACUGGGGGAUAACCCGUCGAAAGGCGGACUAAUACCGCAUGACAACGAUGAUCCGCAUGGUGAUUCGUUUAAAGAUUUAUCGGUUAUGGAUGGGCAUGCGUUCCAUUAGGUAGUUGGCAGGGUAACGGCCUACCAAGCCUACGAUGGAUAGGGGUUCUGGGAGGAAGGUCCCCCAAACUGGUACUGAGACACGGACCAGACGCCUACGGGAGGCAGCAGUGAGGAAUAUUGGUCAAUGGGCGAGAGCCAGAACCAGCCAAAUCGCGUGAAGGAUGAAGGUAUUAUGUAUUGUAAACUUCUUUUGUCGGGGAAUAAAGUGCAGCACGUGUGCUGUUUUGUAUGUACCCGAAGAAUAAGGAUCGGCUAACUCCGUGCCAGCAGCCGCCGUAACAC
rnacentral:rRNA from 1 species